AUUGAACGCUGGCGGCAGGCCUAACACAUGCAAGUCGAGCGAGCGGCGGACGGGUGAGUAAUGUCUGGGAAACUGCCUGAUGGAGGGGGAUAACUACUGGCAACGGUAGCUAAUACCGCAUACCAUCAGAUGUGCCCAGAUGGGAUUAGCGAGUAGGUGGGGUAAUGGCUCACCUAGGCGACGAUCCCUAGCUGGUCUGAGAGGAUGACCAGCCACACGGGACCGGAGACACGGCCCGGACGCCUCGGGGGGGCAGCAGGGGGGAAUAUUGCACAAUGGGCGCAAGCUUGAUGCAGCCAGGCCGGGGGUAUGAAGAAGGCCUUCGGGUUGUAAAGUACUUUCAGCGGGGAGGCGUUACCCGCAGAAGAAGCACCGGCUAACUCCGUGCCAGCAGCCGCGGUAAUAC
rnacentral:rRNA from 1 species